rnacentral:ncRNA from 2 species
GGAGUGGAGCCUGCGGCUU